rnacentral:rRNA from 1 species
GUCUAUGGCCAUACCACCCUGAACAUGCUCAGUCUCGUCUGAUCUUGGAAGUUAAGCAGGGUCGGGCCUGGUUAGUACUUUGGAUGGAAGAAGGGAAACAUACACA